UACAGAGGUCUCAAGCGUUGUUCGGAAUUACUGGGCGUAAAGCGUGCGCAGGCGGCUUUGCAAGACAGAUGUGAAAUCCCCGGGCUCAACCUGGGAACUGCAUUUGUGACUGCAUCGCUAGAGUACGGCAGAGGGGGAUGGAAUUCCGCGUGUAGCAGUGAAAUGCGUAGAUAUGCGGAGGAACACCGAUGGCGAAGGCAAUCCCCUGGGCCUGUACUGACGCUCAUGCACGAAAGCGUGGGGAGCGAACAGG
rnacentral:rRNA from 1 species